GACGAACGCUGGCGGCGUGCCUAAUACAUGCAAGUAGAACGCACAGUUUAUACCGUAGCUUGCUACACCAUAGACUGUGAGUUGCGAACGGGUGAGUAACGCGUAGGUAACCUGCCUGGUAGCGGGGGAUAACUAUUGGAAACGAUAGCUAAUACCGCAUAAUAUUAAUUAUUGCAUGAUAAUUAAUUGAAAGGUGCAAUUGCACCACUACCAGAUGGACCUGCGUUGUAUUAGCUAGUAGGUGAGGUAACGGCUCACCUAGGCGACGAUACAUAGCCGACCUGAGAGGGUGAUCGGCCACACUGGGACUGAGACACGGCCCAGACUCAUACGGGAGGCAGCAGUAGGGAAUCUUCGGCAAUGGACGAAAGUCUGACCGAGCAACGCCGCGUGAGUGAAGAAGGUUUUCGGAUCGUAAAGCUCUGUUGUAAGAGAAGAACGGGUGUGAGAGUGGAAAGUUCACACUGUGACGGUAUCUUACCAGAAAGGGACGGCUAACUACGUG
rnacentral:rRNA from 1 species